rnacentral:lncRNA from 1 species
UAAAAUACUAGUUGAGAUCCGCUUAUCGAUAAUAACGGAAGACCUGUUUCUAUUACUAAAAUACCCGUUUAAUUAGAUAUUAGACAGAACUACUGUAAGUAGAGCUCAAACUUUUCUUGUAUGUCAGUUCCGGCAUGAGGCAGUUAUAAGUAGAGACAUAAUGUAACAAUAAUGAUAGUAUCUGUUACUCGUACAUUUUACAUAUCGCUUGCUAUACAUGAGUAAAUUUCAAAAAAAACUCAUCUCUAACCUACCGUUUGCUGCCUUUUUUAAGGAUUUGAGAAAUGCAGUAAGAGUUUUCUUUGCCGAUUCAUAAUAU